UUUUCUUUUCUCCUACAAGACUAUUUGUGGCCUCCAUCCUUCAUGGCUUGCACAUGCACAUGUGCGCACGUACACACACACACACACACAUAUAAUUUUCACUUUAUGUGUAUGGAUGUUUUGCCUGCAUGUAUGUCUGCACCAUUUGUGUGCCUGGUGCUGACAGAGGCCAAGAGAGGGCACCAGAAUUGGAGUUACAGAUGGUUAUGAGCUGUCAUGUGGGUUCUGGGAAUCGGAAUCCAGGUCCUAGGGAAGAGCAGAGGUGCUUUUGCACAUUAAACCAUCCCUCUAGCCCCGUAUACACACGUUUUUAAAAAGUGUUAUUGCAGGAGAGGGAGAGCACCACGCACACAUCUGUGGGUCAGAGGGCAGCAGGCUUUCUCCACCACGGUGAGUUCCAGGCACCAAACUCAGGCUUGCGAGGCAGGUGCUUCCUUCCGCCUUCCGAGCCGUCUCCCAGCCUGUGACUUGCUAUUUAUGAGACAGAGGUAGCUCAGGAUUUUCUGAGUGUACAGUUGGCUUUUCAUAGCCAUUUCCUCGUCUUUUCAUUCAGGCAACCACAGAGUGAAAAUGUCCGAGGGGAAAAGCGCAUCUGAAUUGAACAUGUCAAAGUGUUUUGUGUCAUUAUCCUUAAACAAUACAGCAUAACAUUUCUUUGCAUUGCAUAUAUAUUGUAUUAGAUAUUAUAAACAGUCUGGGGGUGGAUACAGAGGACUGUAGGUUAUAUAUAAAUUCAAUACCAUUUUAUCUAAGAGUUUUGAGCAGUUAUGGAGUUGGGUAGGAUUUGGGUGGGUGGCCAGGAUGCAGGAUCCUGGAAUUAAUCCUCCAUGGCUGCCAGACUAUAUAUUAUUCAUUUCUUUGUCUGCUUUUGAGACAGGGUCUUACUGUAUAGCCCUGGUUGACUCACUAUAUAGACUAUCCUGGCUUUGAACUCACAGAGAUCCGCCUGCCUCUGUCUCCUGAGCGCUGGCACCACUGCCCAGGCUUCAUUCAUAUCUUAAACCAUAAAACAGUAAUAAUAUCAGAUGGAAGUUGGAUUUGCUAUACCAUAGCUGACUGAGAUUAGAGAUGAUAAAUAUUGUAUUACUUUAAUUAUGUCUAAAGCAUAGAUAGUCUAUCCUCAUUGCCUUCCCACACGUUUAUUCCAUUUCCCCCUUUUUUUAAAUGUUAUUUAUUAUUAGUGUUGGGGGCAGGUGGCAUUGCCACACUGUACGUGGAGGUCAGUUUGCAAGGGUUGGUUCUCUCCUCCCACUGUGUGGAUCUCAAGGUUGAACUCAGGUGGUCACAUUUGGUGACAGAGCCUUUACUCUGCUGAGUCAGCUUGCCUGGUUUUUAUUUCUUUUGUUGUUGCUUCUGCUGCUGAUACAGGUCUCACUGCACAGCCUGGCUUAGCCUUGAACUCAGGGUUCCCCUGCUUUAGAUGAGACAGGUCUCACUGCACAGCCUGGCUUAGCCUUGAACUCAGGUUUCCCCUGCUUUAGACCUCUCCGCUCCCAGCUCUAGGACAGGAUUACAGGCAUGUGAUACCACGCCUAGUUUAUUUUUCUUCCGUGAUAUUGGGGUCUCAUAGGGCUGAGAGAACAGUCUUCUACAAGCGUGAAGGCCUGAGUUUGAUCCCCAGAACCCCCCAACACACACACAAACACAAACCAGGGAUGGUGAUGCAAUCUUGUAAUCCAGCAAUAUGGAGGUUAAUCAGGAGGAUUCCCAAGGCUCUUUGGCCAGCCAGCCUAGAGCAAUAAUGAGCAAGCUUCAGGCCAAGUGAGAAACCCUGUCUCAAAAAACAAGGUGGAUAGCACCCAAGAAGUGACCCCAAGGUCCGGGCUUCACAUACAUGUGCACGUGUGUGCAUGCAUACCCACAAAUAUGUACACCUGAACACGUGAAAGAGAUGGGAGUCUCGGGUGUUGCUCAGGCUGGUACAGGAUUCCUGGGUUCAGACAACCCUCCUCCCGUAGCCACCCCAGUAGCUGGGACUCCACAAGUAUGUACCACUGCCGCUGUGCUUGGCUUUUCCAAAACUAUUUUGUAGUUUCUUACUACUACGGCGAAGAGAUUAAGCCAAAGCCAAACAAAUGUGGUGCCUGACCUUGAACUUUAAGGUCUGCAGUGAGGUGGCUCAGUGAGGAAGAGUGAGCAGACCUGAUGGUCUGAGUCCCAUACCUGGGGCCCAGGUAACGAUGCAAGAAAAGAGCCACUCCAGAAAGUUGUUCUUUGACUUCCAUACGGAUACCAUUGCACUUGUGCCCCCCCCCAUAUAUACACUCCACAUAGUAGUAAUAAAUAAAACAAAUUUAAAAAGAGAAAAGCAACCAAGGCUCAUUACAGUGUAGGGAGCCAGCUACUAAAACAAUUAAUUAUACCUAUAAGAUGGUUGAGUAGGUUUAAAGUGCUUACAGGGUGAACCUGAUGGCCUGAGUUUAGUCCCUAGAGCCUAUGAUGGGAGGAGAGAAUUGAGUCCGCAAGUGAGCCUUCCAACCUCCACACAUGUACCUACACACAGACACACAGACACACAGACACACACACACACACACACACACACACACACACAGGUAUAGCGAUUAUGGAAGAAUGAUACAAGGUACAUUAAGAGAGGCUGAGAAUGUAGCUCAUUGAUAGAGUGCUGUCUAAGGUAUUUAGGUUUCACUGUAAUUAGAUAAGAAGAAAACAAGUGGAUACUUUUCAGAGCAGAUGUAAUGAUGUGAUUUACACUCACACUACUAGCUACUUUAUCAAACUCAAUGGUUAGGGUAGGGACAAGAAUGGCCACAGAGAGACUAGUUAAAAGACCAAAGUGCAGUCUAGAUAAGAGAUGAUUGUGGCCAACACUCGGAACACUAGAGAAAUAUUGUAUUUUUUCCCAGGGGGGUAACACAGAAUCCCAGUCUUUUGAAAGAUGUAUUUAUAGUCAUUUUAGUUGGUAUGUAUCUGUAUUGGCACGUGUGCAUUGGAGUGCAGGUGCCUGCAGGUGCUGGAGGUGUCAGAGGUGUGAGUGCAGCUGCCUACAGGUGCUGGAGGUGUUAGAGUGUGAGUACCAGUGCCUACAGGUGCUGGAGGUGUUAGAAGUGUGAGUGCAGAUGCCUGCAGGUGCUGGAGGUGUUAGAGUGUGAGUACCAGUGCCUACAGGUGCUGGAGGUGUUAGAGUGUGAGUACCAGUGCCUACAGGUGCUGGAGGUGUUAGAGUGUGAGUACCAGUGCCUACAGGUGCUGGAGGUGUUAGAAGUGUGAGUGCAGAUGCCUGCAGGUGCUGGAGGUGUUAGAGUGUGAGUACCAGUGCCUACAGGUGCUGGAGGUGUUAGAGUGUGAGUACCAGUGCCUACAGGUGCUGGAGGUGUUAGAGUGUGAGUACCAGUGCCUACAGGUGCUGGAGGUGUCAGAGGUGGGAGUGCAGCUGCCUACAGGUGCUGGAGGUGUUAGAGUGGGAGUACCAGUGCCUACAGGUGCUGGAGGUGUUAGAGUGUGAGUGCAGGUGCCUACAGGUGCUGGAGGUGUCAGAGGUGUGAGUGCAGGUGCCUACAGGUGCUGGAGGUGUUAGAGUGUGAGUACCAGUGCCUACAGGUGCUGGAGGUGUUAGAGUGUGAGUACCAGUGCCUACAGGUGCUGGAGGUGUCAGAGGUGGGAGUGCAGCUGCCUACAGGUGCUGGAGGUGUUAGAGUGGGAGUACCAGUGCCUACAGGUGCUGGAGGUGUUAGAGUGGGAGUACCAGUGCCUACAGGUGCUGGAGGUGUUAGAGGUGAGUGCAGGUGCCUUCAGGUGCUGGAGGUGUUAGAGUGUGAGUGCAGCUGCCUACAGGUGCUGGAGGUGUCAGAGUGGGAGUGCAGGUGCCUACAGGUGCUGGAGGUGUCAGAGGUGUGAGUGCAGGUGCCUACAGGUGCUGGAGGUGUUAGAGUGUGAGUACCAGUGCCUACAGGUGCUGGAGGUGUCAGAGGUGGGAGUGCAGCUGCCUACAGGUGCUGGAGGUGUUAGAGGUGAGUGCAGGUGCUGGAGGUGUUAGAGGUGAGUGCAGGUGCCUACAGGUGCUGGAGGUGUCAGAGGUGGGAGUGCAGGUGCCUACAGGUGCUGGAGGUGUCAGAGGUGGGAGUGCAGGUGCCUACAGGUGCUGGAGGUGUCAGAGGUGGGAGUGCAGGUGCCUACAGGUGCUGGAGGUGUCAGAGGUGUGAGUGCAGGUGCCUACAGGUGCUGGAGGUGUCAGAGGUGGGAGUGCAGGUGCCUACAGGUGCUGGAGGUGUCAGAGGUGGGAGUGCAGGUGCCUACAGGUGCUGGAGGUGUUAGAGUGUGAGUGCAGGUGCCUACAGGUGCUGGAGGUGUCAGAGGUGGGAGUGCAGGUGCCUACAGGUGCUGGAGGUGUUAGAGGUGAGUGCAGGUGCCUACAGGUGCUGGAGGUGUUAGAGGUGAGUGCAGGUGCUGGAGGUGUUAGAGUGUGAGUGCAGGUGCUGGAGGUGUUAGAAGUGUGAGUGCAGGUGCUGGAGGUGUUAGAGGUGAGUGCAGGUGCCUACAGGUGCUGGAGGUGUUGGCUCCCACGGAGACGGAGUUGCAGGUGGUUGUGAGCCGCCUGACAUGGGCUCUGGAAACCAAACCUAAGGCCUCCGGAAGAGCAGUGCAAACCCUUAAAGACAAGCUGUCUCUCCAGCCUCUCAGGAUUUGUUUUAAAACUAGGACAAUGUAUUGAGUGUAGAUCACUGUUACUAGGGUAGAUUAAAAACAAAACACAGGCUGCAGAGAUGUCUAAGUCAAGUAAAGUGGUUGUUGCAUAUAAGCAUGGGGACCUGAGUGUAGCUGGAGAGCUUUUCUUUCCGGGUCCCACCAAGUCCUGCCAGUCCCGGAGCCCACUUAUAAAAUAAGCACACAGACUCUUACAUUAUUUAAACUGCUUGGCCAUUAGCUCAGGCCUAUCAUUGUCUAGCUCUUACUCUUAUAUUUAGCCCAUUUCUAUUAAUCUUUACUUUGCUGUGUGGCUCGUGGCUUACUGGUACCUUACAUCUUGCUUGUCCUGGCGGUGGCUCCAGGCAGUCUCCUGCUCCACCUUCCUGUUCCCUCAAUUCUCCUCUCUGUUAGUCCCACCUAUACUUCCUGUCUGGCUACCGGCCAAUCAGUGUUUAUUUAUACAGAGCGAUAUCCACAGCAAUAGUGAUUAUUUCAUAAUACACAUAUUCAAAAUAUCACUGUACACUUAAACAUAUAUAGUUUUUUUUGUUUGUUUGUUUUGUUUUGUUUUUUGAGACAGGGUUUCUCUGUGUAGCUUUGCGCCUGUCCUGGAACUCACUUGGUAGCCCAGGCUGGCCUCGAACUCACAGAGAUCCGCCUGCCUCUGCCUCCCGAGUGCUGGGAUUAAAGGCGUGUGCCACCACCGCCCGGCAACAUAUAUAGUUAUACCCCAGAAAUAAUAAAGAAAAAAGAACUCUCCUACUAUUUUAUAAUUAGUAUGUGUUUAUGUGCACCUUAAGAUCCUGGCUUAAAAUUCGUAAGUGUCAUGAAAUCUGCCAAGAUUGACUUCAAAUUUCAUUUUUGAGACAAUCAAUAUAACAUACCACACUGAGCUGGAAGGACGGCAGUGGUAAUGUGCUCACCAUUCAAGUGUGAGGACCCAAGUUCGGGUCCCCAGAACCUGUGUAAAUGCUGGUAGGCAUGAAGAUAGGGACUCUCUCAGAACAAGAUGGCUAGUCAGACUCUCCUUGUACAGGUACGCUCUGGAGUCAGUUACGGUGGACACAGCCUUCCAAAGCCAAGCUUGGGCCUCCGGUGCAUAGAUGUGCCCAGGCAUUCACACACACUUGUGUAUACAUAUGCACACAUGAAACACACACACACACACACACACACACACACACACACAGGGUAGGGGGAUACACUUAACUUGACCCUAAUAAUGUAAACUAUUUUGAGAGAACAAAUUUAGCUGUUCAAGAGACACAUACAGCCUGAAGUGGUGAUACAUGCCUAUAAUCCCAACACUUAGGAUCAGGAGUUCAAGGACAACCUGGGUUACAUGAGACCCUGUCUCAAGAAAGAGAGAAGAAAAAAGAUUUAUACAUAUUUUGACCAUUUAAAUCCAAUCUUUAAGAAAAAAAAAAAAAAACAAAGACCCCUCCAAAA